rnacentral:rRNA from 1 species
CCUGGUUGGGUUGUGCUGGCCUCUAGGGGCAUGUGCACGCCUAGCCACCGUUUUCAACCACCUGUGCACCUUUUGUAGACCUGGAUACCUCUCGAGGCAACUCGGUUUGGGGAUUGCUGUGCUGUCAAAGCCAGCUUUUCUUACCCGUCCGGUCUACGUCUUUAUAUACCCCAUAAGAAUGUAACAGAAUGUCUAUUUACUGGCCUCCGUGCCUUUAAUCUAAUACAACUUUCAACAACGGAUCUCUUGGCUCUCGCAUCGAUGAAGAACGCAGCGAAAUGCGAUAAGUAAUGUGAAUUGCAGAAUUCAGUGAAUCAUCGAAUCUUUGAACGCACCUUGCGCUCCUUGGUAUUCCGAGGAGCAUGCCUGUUUGAGUGUCAUUAAAUUCUCAACCUAACCAGCUUUUGCGAGCUUGGAUAGGCUUGGAUGUGGGAGUUGCGGGCUUCUCAGAAGUCGGCUCUCCUUAAAUGCAUUAGCGAAACCUUUGUUGACCAUCCCUGGUGUGAUAAUUAUCUACGCCACCGAAGGCCGGCUGCUUAUAUAGGGCUUUGCUUCUAACCUGUCUGUUCGCUCUUUGUAGUGGACGACAACCCCCUGACAUUUUGACCUCAAAUCAGGUAG